UACGUAGGCAGCGAGCGUUGCUCGGAAUCACUGGGCGUAAGGGUGCGUAGGCGGGUCUUAAGUCAGGGGUGAAAUCCUGGAGCUCAACUCCAGAACUGCCUUUGAUACUGAGGAUCUUGAGUUCGGGAGAGGUGAGUGGAACUGCGAGUGUAGAGGUGAAAUUCGUAGAUAUUCGCAAGAACACCAGUGGCGAAGGCGGCUCACUGGCCCGGUACUGACGCUGAGGUGCGAAAGCGUGGGGAGCAAACAGG
rnacentral:rRNA from 1 species